rnacentral:rRNA from 1 species
UGAGGAACAUGACCUUCGGCGGGGGAUAGCCGGCCCAACGGCCGGGUAAUACCGCGUACGACCACUUUGGGACAUCCCUGGGUGGUGAAAGCAGCAAUGCGCCGAUGGAGUGCCUCGCGGCCUAUCAGCUAGUUGGUGAGGUAACGGCUCACCAAGGCGACGACGGGUAGCUGGUCUGAGAGGAUGGCCAGCCACAUUGGGACUGAGACUACCGGCCCAGACCUCCGUACGGGAGCAG